AGUGAACGCUGGCGGUAGGCCUAGCACAUGCAAGUCGAACGGCAGCACAGUAAGAGCUUGCUCUUACGGGUGGCGAGUGGCGGACGGGUGAGGAAUACAUCGGAAUCUACUUUUUCGUGGGGGAUAACGUAGGGAAACUUACGCUAAUACCGCAUACGACCUACGGGUGAAAGCAGGGGAUCCUCGGACCUUGCGCGAUUGAAUGAGCCGAUGUCGGAUUAGCUAGUUGGCGGGGUAAAGGCCCACCAAGGCGACGAUCCGUAGCUGGUCUGAGAGGAUGAUCAGCCACACUGGAACUGAGACACGGUCCAGACUCCUACGGGAGGCAGCAGUGGGGAAUAUUGGACAAUGGGCGCAAGCCUGAUCCAGCCAUACCGCGUGGGUGAAGAAGGCCUUCGGGUUGUAAAGCCCUUUUGUUGGGAAAGAAAAGCAGCAGGUUAAUACCCCGCUGUUCUGACGGUACCCAAAGAAUAAGCACCGGCUAACUUCGUG
rnacentral:rRNA from 1 species